GCAGCUGCGGUAAUUCCAGCUCCAAUAGCGUAUAUUAAAGUUGUUGCGGUUAAAAAGCUCGUAGUUGGAUUUCUGCCGAGGACGACCGGUCCGCCCUCUGGGUGCGUAUCUGGCUCGGCCUGGGCAUCUUCUUGGAGAACGUAUCUGCACUUGACUGUGUGGUGCGGUGUCCAGGACUUUUACUUUGAGGAAAUUAGAGUGUUUCAAGCAGGCACACGCCUUGAAUACAUUAGCAUGGAAUAAUAAGAUAGGACCUCGGUUCUAUUUUGUUGGUUUCUAGAGCUGAGGUAAUGAUUAAUAGGGAUAGUUGGGGGCAUUCGUAUUUAACUGUCAGAGGUGAAAUUCUUGGAUUUGUUAAAGACGGGCUACUGCGAAAGCAUUUGCCAAGGAUGUUUUCAUCAAUCAAGAACGAAAGU
rnacentral:rRNA from 1 species